rnacentral:lncRNA from 1 species
AAUUGGAGGAUAGACUACUCAUUCAUAUUCAGAGCCACAUAUAAGUACUAUAUAUCUUUACUGAAUAUGUUUAAAUUUUAACCUUUUAGAGUCUAACAUUUAUUGUUCAAUUUACAGCAUAUUUAUAGUGCCUGAGGUGCCUCGUGUGAUUACUGACAUCAUUUGAUGAUUGAUGCCGAGAUCAGUGAAUAAGUUCUCUAGUUGGCCGUCGAAGGCUCGUGAUGCAACUUGAGAGAUAUUUUUGGUACGUCAAAGAUGUUUAAUUUUUAAAUUUAUAAUAGAUUUAUAUUCUAUUUAUUAAUAUAUGGUUGCUUCUAUUUGCAGAGGUACUAUCAAUUCAAAAUUUCUUAGGAUGAGGAGGCUGGC